AUUUAUAAACUCACAACAAUGUGCCUUACUACCAUUGAUAAUAACAAUGCUGUGUACCUGCUAAUUUCUUUGAAGUUGUUUUAAACAAAUAUUGAUGUUCGUAAAUUACUUGCUUUUGAUGAUGUUUCAGUGUCAUUCCACUUCGAAAUUAUAAAUAACGAUUCAAUUAGGUACACAAAAAGCUCAAGAAAAUCAUUGACAGCAUAAAAACGUUCAACUCAUUUAGUCGCACAUAAUUGUUUUAAUGAUUUUUUAGUUAUACAUUUUUGACUUUCUUCGAUUUGACUUUUCAACACAUCUUUUCGCUUUGGAAGAUGAAUAAGAAAUAGCAAGGUUUAAAACAUGAACAGCGCAAUGAACAAACGUUGCAAGCGGAUAACUUUGGUGAAUAAGAGAUUGAGCUCCGUUAAAUUGACCAGACAUAGAAGCACAUCCAUCGUAACACUGUCCUCUAAGUAGUAUCUGUUGUAGGCACAAACUGAAGAAUUCUUCCUUGAUAAUCAUAUUUUCAACAUCUAAAUAUCGAACACACAAAGUUACUUGUUCGCUUCCACCAAUGUCGGCCGUUUCAUCAGCAAGUAUUUUGAAACAUCUUUGGGCAUUUAUGUUUGUUACGAUUUUAUUUAAAAUAAUUUUAUUACAGGAUUCAAUUAUUUCAUUUUGAAGUGUUUCACUUGUAUAUUUUAUUGUUUCUUCAGCUUCCAAAAAUGAUUUUAAACGGUCAUCUCCUUG